rnacentral:rRNA from 1 species
GACGAACGCUGGCGGCGUGCUUAACACAUGCAAGUCGAACGAUGAUGCCCAGCUUGCUGGGUGGAUUAGUGGCGAACGGGUGAGUAACACGUGAGUAACCUGCCCCUGACUCUGGGAUAAGCGUUGGAAACGACGUCUAAUACUGGAUAUGACUGCCGGCCGCAUGGUCUGGUGGUGGAAAGAUUUUUUGGUUGGGGAUGGACUCGCGGCCUAUCAGCUUGUUGGUGAGGUAAUGGCUCCCCAAGGCGACGACGGGUAGCCGGCCUGAGAGGGUGACCGGCCACACUGGGACUGAGACACGGCCCAGACUCCUACGGGAGGCAGCGGUGGGGAAUAUUGCACAAUGGGCGAAAGCCUGAUGCAGCAACGCCGCGUGAGGGAUGACGGCCUUCGGGUUGUAAACCUCUUUUAGUAGGGAAGAAGCGAAAGUGACGGUACCUGCAGAAAAAGCACCGGCUAACUACGUGCCAGCCGCCGCCGUAA